ensembl:lncRNA
AGCGGCCGCACGGUGCGUAAAAAGUUUGGGUUUGGCGCUUUGCGCCGCUCCUGCUGACACACCUGCCUAUUGACAAGAAGGUGUGUGUGCGCGCGUGUGUGUGUGCUCGGCUCGUACGGUUCUCCCUGAAGGUCGUCGUGUUUGAAUCAACGACGAAGUGUUUGCUAAACAGUAGUUUCCACCAUCGAAGCACGUCACGUUCUCCUGUUGAAUUGUGUAUCUUUUUUACGUCGUGGCAACAAGCCACUCUGUAUCUAAAGCUUCAUAAUGACCUGUAAUAAAGAGUUAUGCUUAAAAAGGUUUUUUUUAAUCAAGGAUUUGACCUUAUCACGGGUGAAAAAUAGCUCUGGCUAAAUGUUCUCCAGCUGUCUUCAUCGUUCUGAAGCGAGCAAAAAAGAUCGCGGCCGACCCCUCUCACCCCGGACAAAACCUGUUUGUGCCCCUUCCAUCUGGCAGGAGGCUGAGGUCCAUCAGGACUAAGACCUCCCGCCACACCAACAGUUUCUUCCCGUCGGCAGUCGGGCUCAUCAACAGAGCCGGUCCCCCACUGCCUGACUGUAACACUCCACCGGUCACUCUCCUUCACACUGCUCAUGUCACGUUAACUGCAAUUUUUCACUUUGUCGUCACUUUGUCACUUGUUCGCUAGUGCACUUUAUGUUUAAUAUUUUUUUAAUUUUUAAUUUUAUUUUUAACUUAAACUUUAUUCUCUUGUUUUAUACUAACCCAUAGCCUUAUUCUACUAACCCAUUGCAUUAGCAUUUCAUUUUAUUUUAUUAAAUUACUUGUGCACUGCUGUCUUGUUGUCCUACACUGUCUACUGUCACGCACCAACCGCCAAGACAAAUUCCUUGUAUGUUUGACAUAUUUUGGCAAUAAAUGUUUCCUUAUUCCUGAUUUAAAACGGCACAAUGCUGCUGCCUUAAAUGAGCCCAAGUAAUCUAAGUAUGUUUUUCACAAUGUGGUGUAGUUUAGUUAACAGCAUUACCACCCACCUUAAAAAACUAUUCUGUUUCAAACUUCUUGAAAGAGCAGUUUAGUUGCGUUUCUCUAAAUCUUAAACAUUGUUCAAAUGUAUUGUGUGUGUAUUAAAGUCUAGAUUAUAUUGUUCCUUUGGGUCAAGGAGCUCCAUUAAAACAUAUCAGUGAUGACUUGUUCCUUCAUUGUCAUGAACGAACACCGUCAAAUGACAAAACAACAAAUCCUACCAUUUCAUUGUUUGAUACAAAAACUACUGUGCUGUUUCAAUUCUUUAAGGGAAGUUAUAAAGUAAAAGUACUUCCUUUUACAUCUUCAGGUAGCUGAAAAGUUUAAAGACUAAAACUGGUUCUAAUCCAACAUGAAAGCUUUUCAGUUUGAGCUCUAAUCUUAAUCUUUCACUUGGAGCAGCUGCUUUGCAUUCGUUUAAAGGUUCAGUUUCUCAGCGAACACAAGGAUUCUAGAAGUUACAUCAGAGAAGUUCACGAAGUCAGAAGCUCAAAGAAUCAGGAUUCCGGACAAAUCUGUGGAAUAAUGUAGUUUAAAAGUAAAAAGGGCAGGAGGAAGGAGAAAAAAAAAACUUUGAACUCUUGUGUGAGCCUUCGGAUGGUGACGUAAGCUGUGUAAGAUUGUUUACCUUCAUAAAAGUACUGAUAGAACAGUGUUCCAAUCCUCCAUAACAAGUCCUGCAUUCCAAACCGUGAAAGUAAAACAAUUCUAUCACCAAACUGUACUUAACAUCAAAGGCAAACGUAUUUGCUGAUACGGCUCCAUCAAUAUUGAGUAGCAUGUUACUGUGGUUGCUGGUUUUAAACACUUUAUACAACGUAAGAUAUAGUUGUAUGUCAACACAAAAUGUUGGAUAUGCAUUUUCUUUUAUCUUCUUUUUUCUGGAAAUUCGAGAUAGAUUUACUUCUUUGGUCUACAUUUUUAUUUUAGCAUGUAUGUUUGUCUCAUUGACUAAUGAUGCAAUAUAUUUAUUCUGGAAUAAAGUAGAAAGUACAAAUAUUAAAGUAAAUAAACAUGUACGUGUUCUGCCUUUCUAUUCAUCAAGGACAAAGAGAUCCAUGCACCUCGAGUCUGUAACGCAAAAGAAAAGGCGUGAGAUAGAUAGCACACCGUUUUAUUAGUAUAUUUAGCUUUGUGACAUACAGCUCGGGAGGAAAAACAAAAACAAAAAAUAAACGGUCACAAUUUUUUUGAAGUCCAGAAACAUUUCAGCCUUAGCAGGGACAUCACACAAAAGAAAGCUCAGUUCUUGGAUCAUUGAUUUCUUUGUCAUGGACCAGAGUGAUAUGUUCUCGUUGUGCUAAACAAAAAUGUCUGUACCGCUCAAACAGUCAACAAAUAAAAAUAAAA